ACCCAAUAGAUACCCAGGUAGUCCACGCCCUAAACGAUGCAUAUUUGGUGUGGGCAGUUCAUUCUGUCCGUGCCGGAGCUAACGCGUUAAAUAUGCCGCCUGGGGAGUACAGUCGCAAGGCUGAAACUCAAAGGAAUUGACGGGGGCCCGCACAAGCGGUGGAGCAUGUGGUUCAAUUCGACGCAACGCGAAGAACCUUACCUGGGCUCGAACGGCCAGUCAACGGCGGUGGAAACAUUGCUACCCCGCAAGGGGGUCUGGUCGAGGUGCUGCAUGGCUGUCGUCAGCUCGUGUCGUGAGAUGUUGGGUUAAGUCCCGCAACGAGCGCAACCCUUGUCCUGUGUUGCCAUCAUUUAGUUGGGAACUCGCAGGAGACCGCCAGGGAUAACCUGGAGGAAGGUGGGGAUGACGUCAAGUCCUCAUGGCCUUUAUGUCCAGGGCUACACACGUGCUACAAUGGCCGGUACAAAGCGUCGCAAACUCGCGAGAGGGAGCCAAUCGCAAAAAACCGGUCUCAGUUCGGAUUGCAGG
rnacentral:rRNA from 1 species